rnacentral:snoRNA from 1 species
UGCUCUAUUACUGGGCAUGAUAGACUCAUAUACACCCAUAGAAUAUGAGCU